rnacentral:miRNA from 1 species
AUAUAUAGGUAUUAUGAAGACAGGUGUUACAUCUGACUUUCAUAUCCAUAUGAUAUAUAUAUUAGUAAUGGCAAAAACUGUGAUUACUUUUGCACCAACCUAAUAGAA